AGAAAGCUCUUAAUAGGAGGCUGGAAACAUUCGAGUCAUCUUAAAUUUUCAAGUGAUUUUAGUCACCUGAAAUUACAGAUGUGGAACUUUUCCGAAGCCUUUCAGUGCUUGAUUCUCGGCGGCAAUGCAGAAUGAGCGUGAACUUUGUCUCCUAUGUUGAAUGAAAGGAGUUCAAGCACGGCAUCUGGGAGAAAGAUAGCUGAAACAAUCUCAGUGCUCAUGAGAAAGACGCCAAGAUUUUGAUAUUCCCAAGGAAAAAAUGUCCAGAAUGGAGUAACCGCCUGAUCAUCUGUGGCCUGGGAGCACACGAUAAACCCUAACUCCCUGGUAACCAGAGCAGGAGGAAAGGCGGAGUUUCUGCCAGAAAACUGGUGCACACAGCACCCCGAGGGUUUAUCUGCAGCCCCGGCUGAACAGUUUUGUGGUUAGGAGUCUUCAGACCACAACAUAUCAGUCCUAAACGAAAUAAUCAUAAAAAAAUAUGUGAAAGCCUCACAGUAAUCUCUUAUUAGGCUACACCACGCAGGUUCACUCUUAGAAUAAAGAGAAACAAAUCUGAAUCGGUUUUCCAAUUUUAUUGAAGGAAAGCACGUAAGGGGUUUUGAUCUCUGUACAAGUGGAAAAAUUCUUCAGUGCUUCGCUUAGGCACUAAGCCUUCCCCACCACUACCACCCCCUUUUCUAAAAAAA